ensembl:lncRNA
GGCAUAGUUUAAAAUGCAACUUCCUGAUAAGAAAGAACAUUAAUGCAGAGCUAAAGGGGAGAGUGUCUCUGAGUGUCUUUGAAGAGUUGUUUGAACCUUUGGAAAUGGCAAGAUUGUUUGCACUAGGACCCUUAGUUUUGAUCCUAUGCUUGGUCUUAUAUGUCAGUGCUGACCAAUCCACCAACCCCACACCACCCACUGCUCUCACCCCAGCAUUACCUACCACUGCAGGGAGCACUUCGGAUCAGAAAGAAACUCAGACAAGCACAUCAAUCUCACCCACACACACCACUAUACAACAACAAAACACAGAGACCACAGAGAGCACUUCAGAUCAGAAAGAAACUCAGACAAGCAAAUCAAUCUCACCCACACACACCACUAUACAACAAAAAAACACAGACACCACGGCGAGCACUUCUAAUCAGAAAGAAACUCAGAGAAGCUCAUCAAUCUCAUCCUCACGCACCACUAUACAACAACAAAAGCCAGAGAACACAGGGAGCACUUCUAAUCAGAAAGAUAUUCAGACAAGCACUUCAACCUCACACCCACGCACCACUACACAACAACAAAACACAGACACCAAAGGUAAAAGUGUAUUUUACAUUAUAUUAAAUGUUUUUUUUUUUUUUCAUAAAUGUGAAAAAGUAUAAGAUAAGCAUCUUAUUUGAUCAAAUAUUCAUCAUUAUAAAGAGAGCGCUUCUAAUCAGAAAGAAACUCAGAGAAUUAAGGAUAACAAUCUUAAUUGCUUGCCAAUGUGCAUUGGCUCAUUUAGUUUACACUUAAAGUAGAUUGGUCUCUCUAAGAGAGAUCCCGCUUUGAUGGUCAUCUGACGAAUUGGUAAAAGUGUAUUUAACAUUAUAUUUCAUGCUUUUUAUCACUUACCAAUUUAUAAUAUAAAUACAUUUAUAUUAUGUUGUGCUUACGCAGUUUGUGGUAAUAAAAAUAAAUUUUUUGUCUUGCCUUUUUUUAAACAAUACAAUACAAAACUCUACUACCAUAUUGGAGUAUAACCUUCUUAUAUAGGACUAUAAAUGGACCUACAUUAUAUUGAGUGUAAAUAACUACUAUGUAAUUACAUUUAAAUUAAUUAUUUGAUACAUUGCACUUGUUAUUGUAUUUAUUUUACUGUAUCGCUUUAUUUUUUUACUUGUUACAGUGUAAUUAUACAUGUAUGUACUGAGUAAUAUUAAUUACCUACAUGUACUUACUAUAUGGUUAGGUUUAGGGUUACUUCCAUGUAAUUAUGCAUAACUUAUUGUUAUUAUAAAGGUAAGUAAAGUGUUACCCACUAUGAUUUACUUCUAUUUAAAAAAAGUAUGUAAUUACUGUAAAAUUGCUGUAAAACCUGUUCCUAACCUGACCCGCAUCCCACCUCAACAGCAGCAAAAGUGUUUUACAAUACAACACGAACACAAUAAGUACAUUGUACCUAACAUUUUUCGUUUUGGUUGUUGUAUAACUUAUGUUCAUGCUAGUUAAAGGCACCAGUGAACGUUUUAUUUGAUUGCAUAAUUAUUAUCAUGCAAGGAACACUUCAGAUCUGAAAGACACUGGGAAUUACACAUCAGUCUCACACACACUCACCCCCACACAACAACAAAACACUAGCACCACUGCAGGCAACAGCAUAUAUUUUAACAUUGCAUUUAUUUAUAAUUUUUUUUUUUUUAAUUUAGAAGUGUUAGAUAAUUCAGUGAGCAGCAGCUUGUACUUGGUGAAUAGAUGAAGGUCAUCUUCCAGCUAUCAAACAUAUUCGUUUCUUAAAACAUUUGUAUAAUAGAAAAAUUGCAUAGCCCUUUUUUUCUUUUUUUUUAUGAAAUCUAUAACUAACUGAAGUUUUAUUUCAUAUUUUAGAAGCUUCAAAAAUAGGUCUAGACAAAAUAAAUGAGCAUCAUUGAUCGCAGCAUCAUUACUUCUGCCAUUGCUUUAGUCUAUUAUUGGAAAAGCUGUUACAAUACUUGUCUUGUUUCAAUACUUGUCUUGAAUUAUAAGGUUCUAUCUAUUUUUAAUUUUACCAAACAAACAUUUUCACAUUUUAGACAGCCUAUGGCACACAGAGAGGUGUAAUAACUGACACAUGAGUUACAGUGAGAGAGCUUUAUAUAUUUCAUUUAGAUAGAGUCCCUCACACCUGCGUGCUGGUUGACCGUUGGAUGACCGUUCAUUUCCUUACAGUCACACAAGCUGUUUUUAUGUUUAGCUGCUAUAAUUCAGUCUUGCAUGCACUGUGUGGUACUGUGAUAAACUCAGAAAAUUGUUCCUAGAACUGUUUUAGACACGAAAAUGAAAUCAAACUGGACCCUUUUUACUUAUACAUAUACAAAUAGGCAUUCCUGGUGAUAUUUUAUUACACAAAUUGUCAGAAUAAGUCUUUCAUCAAAAUGUUAUAGCGUGUGUGUGUGUCUGUGUGUGUAUUAAAAAACUAAGUUAUUCACUAGUAUCACACAGUUUAUCAAGUUAUACCUCCCGUAAAUGUUAAUGUUGAUGUCAAAGAUUGUGCUGCUUCAAUUUAGUGCAAAUUUGUAAUUGUGCAAUUCACCACGGCUAAAGCUAAUACUAGUACAAUAUUUAAUAUUUUUGUGAAUUACAUAAAGUGAUGCUCAAUAUCAUGAACUUGCAUUUCCUUUAUAAACAAUCAAUUUUUUUAGAUGACCGUUCAUUUCCUUAUAGUCACACAAGCUGUUUUUAUGUUUAGCUGCAAUAAUCCAUUCUUGCAUCCACUGUAUGGUAUAGCUUGUUAAUGAUAUUAAACAUGUCUGUAUUAUAUAUUUGUAUUUAAAAAUUACAAAUAUUAUUUCACUAUUAUUACACAGUUGACAGUUAUACCUCCCGGAAAUUGUUGAUGUCAAAGGUUGUGCAGCUUCAAUUUAGAGUAAAUUUGUUAUUGUGUAAUUUGCCAUGGCUAAUGCUAAUACUAAUAUAAUAUUUUAGAUAUUUGUGAAUUACGUGAAGUGAUGCUCAAUAUCGUGAACUUUCAUUUCCUUUAGAAACAGUCCCCUCACCCUCACCUCCUACACAAACCUCACUGUCACCAGAUCAAGGUACUGAUUUGCUUCUUGAAAUGUGUUGUUUCUGUGUUAUUUGAGCUGGAUAUCUUUAGUCUGGUCAGACAGUUUUAACUCUUUUAUUGUCAACUAGACACUCAACAAAGUUCAAGUAAUGGCUCCAUCACCUCACCUCCAAUCACGACCAUCACAUCUCUCACCUCCACACAACCCACCUCAACCUUACACACAUCCACCAGCAUCACGGGUAACUCCACAACACUUGUGCUCUCUGAACAAAUGAUUGAUGAUUAUUGAGACAAAAUUGCUUGAUUUAUGAUGAUUAACAUUUAAAUAUGUGUUUUUCUCAGGUACAACAGAAGGACCAUGUAAGUAUUUGUUUGUCUGUUGUGUGAAGUCAACUUUAAUUGUGUUGUUCAAGACACAGUUUCUUCUUGUGAAUUUGUGACUGUUCAUACACACUUACACACAGGUCAGUACAGCGUUUUGAAGAGUGUGAACAAAACCGAAGCUCGUGUGGUGAAUAUCAGCGGCUCUAAGGACCAAAUUUACACAAUCAGGAUAAAGGAGAAGCACAAUGAGAUCCGUGCUGAGCAAAUAUCUCACCAAACUGUCUUUAAAAUUCCUUUUGAAUGGUUAAAACCAUGCACUGUGUACACCGUCAGUGUGGAUGACUGUGAACUCAGUGGAAACAACACCUUUACUUCCAGUAGUAAGUGUGAAAAAGAAGAUUUCUGCAUUAAUUAAAAUAUAUUGAAAUAGACUCAGAUGGGCCAUAAUUUACAGUGACCUCACACUUAAAAAUAUCCAGUUUAUUUACAAUUCAUUCAACAGAUUGAUAUUUUGUUACAUAAUGCAAUGAGUCAUUUUUAAAUAUAAUUUUUAAAUCUCCAAAUUUUCAUUGGGGACUUUUUAUAAUUUUAUUUCACAGCAUAGAGAGCAAUAACAAUUCUUAUAUUUGAGAUUUUUGAACUGUGUUUGUAUUAUGUUGCUGAAUAGAUAUUGUGAAGUAAUAUUUAUAUUUGUCUCUCAUUUGUUAUACAGAAAAUGGAGAAAUUGUUCCAAAAACUGUUAUGACAAACGUGACAGAUAAUGAAGUGUGUUUGAAAGGAGAAUUGACUGGUAUUCAAUGGGAUCUGACUGAAUGUGUUAAAAUAACGGAGCAAAACUCUUGUGCAUCCACACACACCGUUGUACUGGACACAUGUAACUACACAAUGAAUGUUGCUCUGCCCCCAGGUUGGUAUUUAAUAAACUCAACUGCUGUUUAAACACAAAUGAAAUGUGUGUAGAAUAAUGAUAAAUGUUAAAUCAUUCUCACUCUCUCUCAUGAUGUAAAAUUGUCUGUUUUUCAGUUCAUGAGUCUGAAUUUGAAUUGGUCACAACACACA